AUUUCCAUGUGGCACAGGCAUGAGCUGGGAUCUGGCUGGCCUGACAAGGGACUCAGUGUAGCUGGUGAACCAGAAAUAAUGAUGGUGGAUCAAAAAGUCUGGGAGGCGGAGGUUGCAGUGAGCCAAGAUCAUGCUACUGCACUCCAGCCUGAGUGACAGAGCCAGACACAGUCUCAGAACAAACAAACAAACAAACAAACAAAAAACAGGUCUGUAUUGGUACCAGCAAGCCACACCAGGAUCAUGAACUGCCAGCUGUAUGGACUGCUGGGCAAUUGGAGAUGGUUGGCAGGUAAGAUGUGCCUUUCACUUUUCACCAUGAUUGUGAGGCCUCCGCAGCCACGUGGAACUGCUGUUGGCCAGAUGCUUAUCUGAGCUCCUAGAAACCACCCACAUUCUUUACCAUAUGGCCGCCUCCAUCUUCAAAGCCAGCAAUGGAUAAUUUAUACCUUGUCAAGUUCCUCUCAUUCUUCAAAUCUCUCUGACUUUUCUGUCUCUGACUAGUGUGUCCAGAUUUAUAGGGCUCCUGUGAUUAGGUCAGGCACACUGGAUAAUCUCCCUUUUUUUAAAAGUCAAUUUGUAAUACAAUAUAACCUAGUCAUGGGAGUAUAAUUAAUCAUAUGCAGAGUCCUGGGUAAUAUACAGGGAAAGUACACCAGAGUCACAGAAUUUUGGUGGCCAAAAUUCUCUUAGAAUUAUAAGAAUAUUUAUUAUUCAGGAGGUUUUCACUUUAAAAUAUCUAUUCCCUAAUACUUAUUGUAUUCAAAUUACUUAUUUGUCACAGUAAAUUUUGGUAGUUUGUGCUUUUCAGGUAACUGGUCUAUUUUAUUUAAGUUGUAAAUUUAUGUUUGUAGUAUUCUCUUAUUAUCCUUUGAUGCCUGGUUGGUGAGUAGUAGCAUCUACUGUUUCAUUCCUGAUGUUAAUAAUUUGUAUUAUUUCCCCUUUUCCUCAUUCUUACUAGAGGCUUGUCAAUUUUAUUAAUCUCCAUAAAGCCAAGAUUUUUAUUUCAUCAGCAUUAUCCAUCUUGAUUUUUUCUGUUUUCACUGUAAUCAUUAUCUACUUUUAUUCUUAUUAGUUCCUUAUUUCAGCUUGGUUUGAGUUUAGUUUGCUCUUGUAUAAAUUUCCCUCUCUGUGCUCUUUAGCUACUCCCACAAAUUUUGAUAUGCUAUAAUUUCAUUUUCAUUUAGUUGAAUGUAUUUGUAAAUUCCCUUGAGACUUCUUCUCUAACCCACGAAUUAUUACAAAUUAUGCUGUACUUAUUUCUUAGUGUUUGGAGAUUUUCCUGUUGUAUUUUGUUUUAAUAUUUAAUUUGAUUCUGUUGUGGUCAAGAAACACACUCUGUAUGACUCCAAUUCAUUAAAACUUGUCGAAGUUUGUUUUAUGGCCCAAGAUAUGGUUGAUUUUGAUUUAUGUUAUAAAGGCAUUUUUUAAAAAAUGUACAUUGUGCUGUUGUUGGGUAUAGUGUUCUAUAAAUGUCAAUUAGAUCCUUUUGACUGAUUAAUUUAUUGAGUUAUUUUAUAUCGUUGAUUUUUUUUUGCCACUACUCACUGAUAGGCAAACUUUGACAUCACCGUAGUCAGUGAAAAU
rnacentral:lncRNA from 1 species